AGCGAACGCUGGCGGCAGGCCUAACACAUGCAAGUCGAACGAAGUCUUCGGACUUAGUGGCCGACGGGAGAGUAACACGUGGGAACGUACCUUUUGGUUCGGAACAACUCAGGGAAACUUGAGCAAAUCCCGGGUGAGCCCUUAGGGGGCAAGGUUUAUCGCCGAAAGAGCGGCCCGCGUUAGAUUAUCUAGUUGGUGAGGUAAAGCCUCACCAAGGAUACGAGCUGUAGCUGGACUGAGAGGAUAGGCAGCCACGCUAGGACGGAGACACGGCCCAGACUCUUACGGGUGACAGCGGUGGGGAAUCUUGCGCAAGGGGCGAAGGCCUGACGCAGCCAUGUCGCGUGAAUGAUGAGGGUCUUAGUAUUGUAAAAUUCUUUAACCAGGGAAGAUAAUGACGGUUCCUGGAGAAAAAGCCCCGGCUAACUUCGUGCCAGCCGCCGCGGUAAUAC
rnacentral:rRNA from 1 species